UAGUCCACGCCGUAAACGAUGUCGACUUGGAGGUUGUGCCCUUGAGGCGUGGCUUCCGGAGCUAACGCGUUAAGUCGACCGCCUGGGGAGUACGGCCGCAAGGUUAAAACUCAAAUGAAUUGACGGGGGCCCGCACAAGCGGUGGAGCAUGUGGUUUAAUUCGAUGCAACGCGAAGAACCUUACCUGGCCUUGACAUCCAGAGAACUUAGCAGAGAUGCUUUGGUGCCUUCGGGAACUCUGAGACAGGUGCUGCAUGGCUGUCGUCAGCUCGUGUUGUGAAAUGUUGGGUUAAGUCCCGCAACGAGCGCAACCCUUAUCCUUUGUUGCCAGCGAUUCGGUCGGGAACUCAAAGGAGACUGCCGGUGAUAAACCGGAGGAAGGUGGGGAUGACGUCAAGUCAUCAUGGCCCUUACGGCCAGGGCUACACACGUGCUACAAUGGCGCAUACAAAGAGAAGCGACCUCGCGAGAGCAAGCGGACCUCAUAAAGUGCGUCGUAGUCCGGAUUGGAGUCUGCAACUCGACUCCAUGAAGUCGGAAUCGCUAGUAAUCGUAGAUCAGAAUGCUACGGUGAAUACGUUCCCGGGCCUUGUACACACCGCCCGUCACACCAUGGGAGUGGGUUGCAAAAGAAGUAGGUAGCUUAACCUUCGGGAGGGCG
rnacentral:rRNA from 1 species